AUUGAACGCUGGCGGCAUGCCUUACACAUGCAAGUCGAACGGCAGCAUGGGUGCUUGCACCUGAUGGCGAGUGGCGAACGGGUGAGUAAUGCAUCGGAACGUACCCGGAAGUGGGGGAUAACGUAGCGAAAGUUACGCUAAUACCGCAUAUUCUGUGAGCAGGAAAGCGGGGGAUCGCAAGACCUCGCGCUUCCGGAGCGGCUGAUGUCGGAUUAGCUAGUUGGCGGGGUAAAGGCCUACCAAGGCGACGAUCUGUAGCGGGUCUGAGAGGAUGAUCCGCCACACUGGGACUGAGACACGGCCCAGACUCCUACGGGAGGCAGCAGUGGGGAAUUUUGGACAAUGGGCGAAAGCCUGAUCCAGCCAUGCCGCGUGCAGGAUGAAGGCCUUCGGGUUGUAAACUGCUUUGUACGGAACGAAAAGACUCUGGUUAAUACCUGGGUCCAUGACGGUACCGUAAGAAUAAGCACCGGCUAACUACGUGCCAGCA
rnacentral:rRNA from 1 species